rnacentral:misc_RNA from 1 species
GAUGAAGAACGUAGCGAAAUGCGAUAAGUAAUGUGAAUUGCAGAAUUCAGUGAAUCAUCGAAUCUUUGAACGCACAUUGCGCCCCUUGGUAUUCCGAGGGGCAUGCCUGUUCGAGCGUCAUUACACCACUCAAGCUAUGCUUGGUAUUGGGCGUCGUCCUUAGUUGGGCGCGCCUUAAAGACCUCGGCGAGGCCACUCCGGCUUUAGGCGUAGUAGAAUUUAUUCGAACGUCUGUCAAAGGAGAGGAACUCUGCCGACUGAAACCUUUAUUUUUCUAGGUUGACCUCGGAUCAGGUAGGGAUACCCGCUGAACUUAAGCAUAUCAUAAGCGGAGGA